GAGAUUGACUAAGUUUCUUAAUAUUAUGGUUACCACUUGUUUGACUUUAUGUAUAUAUUGUCAAACGAUGAAAAAAUUUUUCGGAGUUUAUUUUGAGAUACAACAGUGUUAACCUUAAAUUUUGCCUGAUGAAGUUGUGAAAUACAACGAAACGUUGCAACAUUUAAAAAAUUUAACACUGAGUUAUUUUUAUGGUCCAAGUUCCUGAUAAUUUUCAUUAUUAUUUAUAAAUUAUGGAUGAUAACAGAAGUCAUAA